rnacentral:pre_miRNA from 1 species
GUUGUACUCCCUCUGUCCCAUAUUAAGUGACUCAAAUUUGCCCAAAUAUGGAUGUAUCUAUUCCUAAAAAGCGUCUAGAUACAUGUAAUAGAAAGUCACUUAAUAUGGGACGGAGGGAGUAGGUG